rnacentral:sRNA from 1 species
AGUCGUACUGGUCGAUUGGGAAACUCAUCAAUUACAUACGAAUUCCGAGACAAGCUUCUCUAUUCUAAUGGCGGGUCACAUCCUUCGGGAUUGCUUAGGCGCAGUGAAUUACAAAGGGAUGGAGGCACUCAAAUCCUGUUUAACGGAGUUUCGUCUUUAUCCAUCGGUACGGCUCUCUCA